GCCUGGGUGGCUCAGCUGGUUGGGCAUCUGACUUCAGCUCAGGUCAUGAUCUUGCAGCUCAUGAGUUCAAGCCCCAUGUCGGGCU
rnacentral:tRNA from 1 species